rnacentral:rRNA from 1 species
GCGGAGGGAUCAUUACCGAGUUUACAACUCCCAAACCCAAUGUGAACCAUACCAAACUGUUGCCUCGGCGGGGUCACGCCCCGGGUGCGUCGCAGCCCCGGAACCAGGCGCCCGCCGGAGGGACCAACCAAACUCUUUCUGUAGUCCCCUCGCGGACGUUAUUUCUUACAGCUCUGAGCAAAAAUUCAAAAUGAAUCAAAACUUUCAACAACGGAUCUCUUGGUUCUGGCAUCGAUGAAGAACGCAGCGAAAUGCGAUAAGUAAUGUGAAUUGCAGAAUUCAGUGAAUCAUCGAAUCUUUGAACGCACAUUGCGCCCGCCAGUAUUCUGGCGGGCAUGCCUGUCCGAGCGUCAUUUCAACCCUCGAACCCCUCCGGGGGGUCGGCGUUGGGGAUCGGGAACCCCUAAGACGGGAUCCCGGCCCCGAAAUACAGUGGCGGUCUCGCCGCAGCCUCUCCUGCGCAGUAGUUUGCACAACUCGCACCGGGAGCGCGGCGCGUCCACGUCCGUAAAACACCCAACUUCUGAAAUGUUGACCUCGGAUCAGGUAGGAAUACCCGCUGAACUUAAGCA